rnacentral:rRNA from 1 species
CCUACGGGGUGCAGCAGUGGGGAAUAUUGCACAAUGGGGGAAACCCUGAUGCAGCGACGCCGCGUGAGCGAAGAAGUAUUUCGGUAUGUAAAGCUCUAUCAGCAGGGAAGAAAAUGACGGUACAUGAGUAAGAAGCUCCGGCGAAAUACGUGCCAGCAGCCGCGGUAAUACGUAUGGAGCAAGCGUUAUCCGGAUUUACUGGGCGUAAAGGGAGCGUAGGCGGUCUGCCAAGUCUGAUGUGAAAUACCGGGGCUCAACCCCGGGGCUGCAUUGGAAACUGGCAGGCUGGAGUGCCGGAGAGGCAGGCGGAAUUCCUGGUGUAGCGGUGAAAUGCGUAGAUAUUAGGAGGAACACCAAGGGCGAAGGCAGCCUACUGGACGGUGACUGACGCUGAGGCUCGAAAGCGUGGGGAGCAAACAGGAUUAGAUACCCCAGUAGUC